CUGAUGCCAUGCUCGCCGUGCUUGUGUUCUGUACUCCCACGGUUUCUCAAGUGGCUCUCAUCAAAUAAUUUGCAUUUUUCGAUCUGUUUUGAUUUGCUUAAAGUGAAAGUUCGCACCCAGCUGAUUAGAUGGCAGAAAUGAAAAGAGAGCCUGUCCUGGGUGAUGGGGGUCCUCGUUGAUGGAGGCCACCAUUUUGAGGCAUCACCUUUUGAAGAUGUUCACGACUCCGGGGAGGCCAUGAUGGAGCUGGGUGCCUUUCUCAUUGGCACAGAUACCUUUUGACAACAGGUCAACAGCAGAUGCCUUUUCAUUGGCUCUUCACUCAGCUCUGGAACAUCCAUUCAUUGAAGAUUCAUACACGGGAAUGCUCUUCAUUGACUACAGCUCAGCAUUGAACAUUAUCAACUCCUCGAAACUCAUCACUCUUCUCUUGUUUCAUCACUGAAACAUCCCCAUAACCUAUGGACUCACUUUCAAGGACUCUUCAUCUCAUGUUCUCAACAUUUAUUGAUUGCUUGAUUAUUUAUUUGUUGUUAAUAUAAUUAUUUAUUUUUGUACUUGCAGUGUUUGUUAACCCAGUUGGUGACGUCUUUCCUUGAUUCUAUUAUGGUUAUUGGAUUUAUUGAGUAUGCCUGUGUAUCUCAGUGUUGUGUAUGGUGACAUACAUAUACGUAGUUUGACUAGCCAGCCGGUAGUGUGGUGGCAUCAGCACUGGAUCUCAAGACAAUUGUUCCCAUGUUUGAAUCCGGCCAGCCUCUUGCACACUUUCCAUCCAUGCUGGGUUGAGCAUCGAGCUAGCAAUUUGGCCUCAUAACAAAAGAGAUAAUUGCUAAGGGAAUGGCAAAAAAUGCCACCCAAUGA